rnacentral:rRNA from 1 species
CCUACGGGAGGCAGCAGUGGGGAAUAUUGGACAAUGGGCGAAAGCCUGAUCCAGCCAUGCCGCGUGUGUGAAGAAGGUCUUCGGAUUGUAAAGCACUUUAAGUUGGGAGGAAGGGUUGUAGAUUAAUACUCUGCAAUUUUGACGUUACCGACAGAAUAAGCACCGGCUAACUCUGUGCCAGCAGCCGCGGUAAUACAGAGGGUGCAAGCGUUAAUCGGAAUUACUGGGCGUAAAGCGCGCGUAGGUGGUUUGUUAAGUUGGAUGUGAAAUCCCCGGGCUCAACCUGGGAACUGCAUUCAAAACUGACUGACUAGAGUAUGGUAGAGGGUGGUGGAAUUUCCUGUGUAGCGGUGAAAUGCGUAGAUAUAGGAAGGAACACCAGUGGCGAAGGCGACCACCUGGACUAAUACUGACACUGAGGUGCGAAAGCGUGGGGAGCAAACAGGAUUAGAUACCCUGGUAGUCCACGCCGUAAACGAUGUCAACUAGCCGUUGGAAGCCUUGAGCUUUUAGUGGCGCAGCUAACGCAUUAAGUUGACCGCCUGGGGAGUACGGCCGCAAGGUUAAAACUUAAAGGAAAUUGACGG